CUGGAGUAACGCCUCAGUCUCGGUCCUCUCUGUCUGCCCUCGGCUCUGAAAGGAAAGGCCACGGUGAUGGAUUGUCAGCUGCGAGCAAUAACCUCUACCCAAGCGACUCAUCGACGUGAUUCACAUGAUAGCGGGCCCAUCGGUGAGGAAUAAAUGUGCUCUGUGAUUCCCCUCUCCUCAACUUUUGUGAUAAAUUAGAUUAGUUUCCUCUUCGUUUCCUUGUGUGUUUAUUUACUCUUUUGAGGGGGAAAAUUUACUUCUCCUCACCCUUGGGUGUGCUGCUUUCCCAUGAGGAGACUAUCCUGGCGAGGGAUAUAAAAUGAAUCGGUAGCUGCUUCCUACGCGGAAAUCGGAGCUCAUUCCCAGAUGCAUGAAGGCAAGUACAAGUCACUGAAAGGGGUCAAAGUGCAAGCUUGCCACAUUGAUCCUGUGGACUGAGGGUGUUCAGUGUAUUUGAGGAAAUAACACUGCAUCACUAAUCUGGAAGCAAGGUGAUGGUCGCUUCAGGGUGCCUUGCUAUCCUGAAACAACGUCACCAGUGACCACCACCUGAAAAGUUCAUCAAAUUCC